GUCGGGAGCAGGGGCCGCGGGCGGCAGCUGACGGGCGGGCCCUUCCGGAGGCGCCGCGCCUGGACCGUGGCCGCAGGGGUUCCAGUCUCGAUCAUCAGUGAAGUCCUUCCACAUCCAUGGGGCGUCCACCAACUAGGAGCUUAAUCAACACAACGCUGUGGCCUCUCCAGCUCAGGGACGUGCCUUUCCCGUGUCUUCUUCUCACACACAAACGUAGCCUGCAAGGAAGGUCAGGUUCAAUGCACGGAAUCUACCCUGCUGCCCGCUAGGAGGUCAUAUGUGUAUCACAGACCCGCAGAGAAUGCUCUCCACAGUACAUGAAGCGCGGUACAAAUGGAAUGAGUGUAACGGGCAUUCUCUGUUUGAAAAAAGUUAUCCCAAUUGAA